UUGCCUAAUAAUUCUGCACUCCCUGUAUAUUCCGCAGAGUAGCUGUUGACAUUAUAGUUGCGCAGGCAUUUUGUUGACUCUAGAGAACCUCGGGCCAAUCACACAUCCCCGUGACGCCGACUUUGCAUUCUGAUGUCACCCAUAUCAACUUUCUAUGCCAGUUUCUGCGCCUACCAUGGUGACCACGGGUAAUGGGGAAUCAGGGUUCCAUUCCGUACAGGGACCCUGAGAAACGGCUACCACAUGCAAGGAAGGCAGCAGGCGCGCAAAUGACCCACUCCCAACGCGGGAAAGUAGUGACGA